GUGGGGAAUAUUGGACAAUGGGGGAAACCCUGAUCCAGCGACGCCGCGUGUGUGAAGAAGGCCUGCGGGUUGUAAAGCACUUUCGGUGGGAACGAAAUGUGCCGACCUAAUACGUCGGUAAGCUGACGUUACUCAAUGAAGAAGCACCGGCUAACUCUGUGCCAGCAGCCGCGGUAAUACAGAGGGUGCAAGCGUUAAUCGGAAUUACUGGGCGUAAAGCGCACGUAGGCGGCUAUAUAAGUCGGAUGUGAAAUCCCCGGGCUUAACCUGGGAACCGCAUUCGAGACUGCAUAGCUAGAGUACUGGAGAGGACAGCGGAAUUCCCGGUGUAGCGGUGAAAUGCGUAGAUAUCGGGAGGAACAUCAGUGGCGAAGGCGGCUGUCUGGCCAAGUACUGACGCUCAGGUGCGAAAGCGUGGGGAGCAAACAGGAUUAGAAACCCCAGUAGUCC
rnacentral:rRNA from 1 species